AUGGGAAACCAGGACUCUGAUACUGACAGUCCUCAGGGGCCAUGGGGAGAGGCCAACACUCCAGGUCAGCCUGAUUGACAGGGCGGGCAGGCUAAUGACGGAGUCAGGGGGUCAGAAAGGUCCCCUGAGCUGGAAUCUCCCUGG